UACGUAGGGGUCGAGCGUUGUCCGGAGUUACUGGGCGUAAAGCGCGCGCAGGUGGCUCGUUGCGCCCGGCGUGAAAGCCCCCGGCUUAACCGGGGAAGGUCGUCGGGGACGGGCGAGCUUGAGGGCGGCAGUGGCCGGUGGAACUCCCGGUGUAGUGGUGAAAUGCGUAGAGAUCGGGAAGAACACCCGUGGCGAAGGCGGCCGGCUGGGCCGACCCUGACACUGAGGCGCGAAGGCGUGGGGAGCGAACAGG
rnacentral:rRNA from 1 species